rnacentral:rRNA from 1 species
UACGUAGGGUGCGAGCGUUAAUCGGAAUUACUGGGCGUAAAGCGUGCGCAGGCGGCUUUGCAAGACAGAUGUGAAAUCCCCGGGCUCAACCUGGGAACUGCAUUUGUGACUGCAUCGCUCGAGUGUGGCAGAGGGGGAUGGAAUUCCGCGUGUAGCAGUGAAAUGCGUAGAUAUGCGGAGGAACACCGAUGGCGAAGGCAAUCCCCUGGGCCUGCACUGACGCUCAUGCACGAAAGCGUGGGGAGCAAACAGG